rnacentral:rRNA from 1 species
GCAGUGGGGAAUAUUGGACAAUGGGCGAAAGCCUGAUCCAGCAAUGCCGCGUGAGUGAUGAAGGCCUUAGGGUUGUAAAGCUCUUUUACCAGGGAUGAUAAUGACAGUACCUGGAGAAUAAGCUCCGGCUAACUCCGUGCCAGCAGCCGCGGUAAUACGGAGGGAGCUAGCGUUAUUCGGAAAUACUGGGCGUAAAGCGCGCGUAGGCGGUAUCAUAAGUCAGAGGUGAAAUCCCAGGGCUCAACCUUGGAACUGCCUUUGAAACUGUGGCACUAGAAUCUUGGAGAGGUCAGUGGAAUUCCGAGUGUAGAGGUGAAAUUCGUAGAUAUUCGGAAGAACACCAGUGGCGAAGGCGACUGACUGGACAAGUAUUGACGCUGAGGUGCGAAAGCGUGGGGAGCAAACAGGAUUAGA